CAGUCGCCGCGGUAAAACGAAGGGUGCGAGCGUUAAUCGGAAUUACUGGGCGUAAAGCGUGCGCAGGCGGUUGUGUAAGACAGGUGUGAAAUCCCCGGGCUUAACCUGGGAACUGCGCUUGUGACUGCACAGCUAGAGUAUGGCAGAGGGGGGUGGAAUUCCACGUGUAGCAGUGAAAUGCGUAGAGAUGUGGAGGAACACCGAUGGCGAAGGCAGCCCCCUGGGCCAAUACUGACGCUCAUGCACGAAAGCGUGGGGAGCAAACAGGAUUAGAGACCCCUGUAGUCCCUGUCUCUUAUAC
rnacentral:rRNA from 1 species